rnacentral:rRNA from 1 species
GACGGGGGGUCCUAGCGUUGUUCGGAAUCAUUGGGCGUAAAGCGUGUGCAGGUGGUUUGGUAAGUUGGAUGUGAAAUCCUUGGGCUUAACCCAAGAAGGGCAUUCAAAACUACCAAACUUGAGUAAGGAAGAGGGUCGUGGAAUUCCAGGUGUAGUGGUGAAAUACGUAGAUAUCUGGAGGAACACCGGUGGCGAAGGCGGCGACCUGGUCCUAUACUGACACUCAUACACGAAAGCGUGGGUAGCAAACAGG